UACGGGGGGGCAAGCGUUGUUCGGAAUUACUGGGCGUAAAGGGCUCGUAGGUGGCCAACUAAGUCAGACGUGAAAUCCCUCGGCUUAACCGGGGAACUGCGUCUGAUACUGGAUGGCUUGAGUUCGGGAGAGGGAUGCGGAAUUCCAGGUGUAGCGGUGAAAUGCGUAGAUAUCUGGAGGAACACCGGUGGCGAAGGCGGCAUCCUGGACCGAUACUGACACUGAGGAGCGAAAGCCAGGGGAGCAAACAGG
rnacentral:rRNA from 1 species